rnacentral:lncRNA from 1 species
UGGACAGAGACUCACACACCUUUGCACUCUGAUAAGGAGAAUAUUAUUACCCUCCUAGUGGCCUGGCCAGAUAAGAGGUUGGGUUGGGGCGGGCAGUCUGCAUUUUUUUUCAAGCUCUCAUUAUGCUGCACCAGUAUCUCCAGAUGCUGUUUCCAGGGAACUAAGCUGCUUUCUAAUUAAAACUGCAAAGAGCAAUGGAGAGUUUAGGAAAAGACCAUGCCUCUUCGGACUCUUCCCUGCCACUCUCUGCAACCAAUGAGGAGUAUGCUGUGCCAGAUGUCAUCAUAACCCGUCGCUUGAGAGACCGAGAGUUGCUCCGGAAAAGAAAAGCAGAAGCCCUGGAGAAAGAUUCAGCUCAGUGGGUUAUGAGAGACUAUAAGAACGAACAGCAAAGGAGAGGCAGAAGAGCCAAAAGAGGACGGGGCCGUCAGACGGUGGUCAAGGCUGUCCUGGAGUCAGAGCCAGCAGUGGACCCCCAGCCUGACCCACAGGAGAAGGCUGAGCCAGUGCCCUCUGAGCCAGCACUGCCUGAACCAGGCUUUCAACAGCAGCCACCUGUGCUGACCAUCCAGAACAUGGUCGGUGGGAUGCAAGCAGUGGCAAUGGAAGGGGAGCUGGCAGACAGGAGCUUGGACCCUGCUGGUGGAGCGGAUGUGCUGAAACCAGCAGAAGCAGAUACACUAGAAGCGUUGAAUACUCCUCUGGAAAAUGACCACCAGGAUAACGAAUUCAUCCCACAUAUUCUGUAUUAACUUUCUGAUUUUUUUGGGGAUAUUUUUUAUUUUUACUCUCACCUCACAAAGUACGGCACAGUACUUUGAUAAGUACGGCACAGUGAUUUUGAGCAGCUGCUUUCUUGGGAGCCAUAAAGCCCAUACUCUCCUUGUCACUCUGCUUUCUGUGCUUCUUCCAGGCUAGAGAGGCAGUCCAUAGGGAGUUGCCUGUGGCUUAUGAGCCUCCUGCUCUCUCUGCAAACAGGCUGUUUUGCUUGGGCCCAUGGAAGGCUUCACAGUGCUCUGCCUGUAGUUCAGUCAUACAGUCCAGCAUCCAUCUGUGUUUCUGAAAGUAAUUACUUAUUUGCAUAAAUGUGAGUGGCAUUGCAGAGCUAGCACUCACCGUGAAUAUUAGCUGGCUGGAGAAGCCCAGCUUGGGCUUUUUACUGCACCCUACAAACCCCACCACCCUUUGCGCAAGUAUCUUUAGUCUAAAAGUGUUUCUCAUAGCUUGUUUUCAUCUGCAAUAAACACCUUGCUUUCCUAAAGCUGGAAAUUUUU